rnacentral:rRNA from 1 species
AGUGAACGCUGGCGGUAGGCCUAACACAUGCAAGUCGAACGGCAGCACAGGAGAGCUUGCUCUCUGGGUGGCGAGUGGCGGACGGGUGAGGAAUACAUCGGAAUCUACUCUGUCGUGGGGGAUAACGUAGGGAAACUUACGCUAAUACCGCAUACGACCUACGGGUGAAAGCAAGGGACCUUCGGGCCUUGCGCGAUUGAAUGAGCCGAUGUCGGAUUAGCUAGUUGGCGGGGUAAAGGCCCACCAAGGCGACGAUCCGUAGCUGGUCUGAGAGGAUGAUCAGCCACACGGGAACUGAGACACGGUCCAGACUCCUACGGGAGGCAGCAGUGGGGAAUAUUGGACAAUGGGCGCAAGCCUGAUCCAGCCAUACCGCGUGGGUGAAGAAGGCCUUCGGGUUGUAAAGCCCUUUUGUUGGGAAAGAAAUCCAGCUGGCUAAUACCCGGUUGGGAUGAUGGUACCCAAAGAAUAAGCACCGGCUAACUUCGUGCCAGCCGCCGCCGUAA